GUGUUCUAAAAAUCAAAUAAAAUUAAAGUUCACGAAAUCAUUUGAGCUAAACUCCAGAGUUUUUUGGAAUAUCUGAUAUCUUGGCGUAGCAUAGCUAAUAUCUUAUCUAAGUUUAGGGGUGAAAGGCCUUCCAAAUUUGAUUAUAUCUUGAUACAAAAGAAAUAUAUUUAGUAUUCUCGUUCAAACUAAAAAUGGUGAGGUUUUUAGUUAGUAUAAAAAAGAUUUUCCCUAAAAAUUAGGUUUUUUAAUAGAUGCUAUGCUUCUUUAAAAUAAUAUUUAAUAUCGUUUUACUUGUAUAAAGUACUUUAGUAGGGUAUACUAACUUAGCAAAUACUUUUAAAAUGAUCACAUUAGUAUAUCCUUAAAUUACUAUAGAGGAACUCGGCAAAUUUUUAUUCUCGACUGUUUAUCAAAAACAUAGCUUUAAGUACUACAUUUUAAGUGCAACCUGCUCAAUGACACUUUAAAUAGCCGCAGUACCCUGACUGUGCAAAGGUAGCAUAAUAAGUUGGCUUAUAAUUGAAGUCUAGUAUGAACGGGAACACGGGAAUAAUCUGUCUUUAUUUUUCUUAUAUAAAUUACUAAUUAAGUGAAAAUUCUUAAGUCUCUCAGAAAAAAGACGAGAAGACCCUAGAAAUUUUUUAAAAAUAUUUUGUUGGGGCGACAAGGUAACAUAAAACUUACCUAUUCAAUAGGAGAUUUAUUAGUAGCGUAAUAAAAUUACUCUAGGGAUAACAGCAUAAUAUUGUAAAGAUUGUGACCUCGAUGUUGGACUAGGAAAUACAUUACCUAAAAGGUAACUUAUAUGGUUCUGUUCGAACUUUUUUCUCCUACAUGAUCUGAGUCCAGACCGG
rnacentral:rRNA from 1 species